rnacentral:rRNA from 1 species
CAGUCGCCGCGGGAAUACAGAGGGUGCGAGCGUUAAUCGGAUUUACUGGGCGUAAAGCGUGCGUAGGCGGCUUCUUAAGUCGGAUGUGAAAUCCCUGAGCUUAACUUAGGAAUUGCAUUCGAUACUGGGAAGCUAGAGUGUGGGAGAGGAUGGUAGAAUUCCAGGUGUAGCGGUGAAAUGCGUAGAGAUCUGGAGGAAUACCGAUGGCGAAGGCAGCCAUCUGGCCUAACACUGACGCUGAGGUACGAAAGCAUGGGGAGCAAACAGGAUUAGAUACCCCCGUAGUCCCUGUCUCUUAUAC